UUCCACCUCAACUAAGAUGAGAUACUGAAAAAUAUUUCCAAGCUGUCUGUUCAAAUGUCAAGAAAUGAAUUUGUGCUGAUGUGAGCAAUCUACUAGCAUAUCAUUAGGCUUAAACAGACAUCAAAGUAUAAAAUCCUAAGGAGGUAUCAACUGAUUAGAACGACACAGCAUUUGAUGUUGGAACAGAAAGUUUGCAAAUGCAAAAAUGGAAGUGAGUGACUCUCUGAGAACCAAACCCGUGGAAAUUGCCCAGGAUUCUGAGCACGUGUGUGGAAAUGUGCCAUGCACACAAACACCCUUCAUCACACAUAAUCCAGCAGAAGAAAGUUUGAGGACUGCCAAUUUGAACUAACCCCCUCAUUUUACAGACGAGGAAACUUAGGCUCAGUUAUGUUAAAUGAUUUGUUCAAAGUCACACAGGAGUCUGGCACUUCAUUCAACAAAAACAGCGCUGGGAUUGAAAUGGAUCCCUACAUUGGCAUUUUCUCAGUCUGGAUUGUGGCUAUAAAAAGGAUGAUUUUAUACCUUGGUAUUUGACAAAGUUCCGUCCUUGGUGUAC